CAGUGGCUGCCACCACCAAUGAUAACAACACCUUGGAGGUCAUUUGGACCCUUUUCCUUCUGGGUACAACUGGAGAUACUGUGAGGAGCUUCAGGAGCUUUGGCAGUUCACCUUUCAACCCUAAAUUAGCAUUUGGCAUUACAUCACUUUUCAGGUACUCAACUUAAUGUCGUAUUAACGAACAUGUAAAUGUGCCCUCUAUUUACCUUUCCUGCAACACAUCAAUUCCUUUAUGUUAUGGAUGUCAAGCCAAGUUACUUCGGUCACAUGGCCAAGAUGUCAGUGAAAAUCAGCUGGCACUGACAGAGGUUGUAGAAGAGAAUGGAAAUGAAAAUUGAACCCCAAGAAGUGAAAGAGGCCUGUAACCACAUCGAGCAAAGACGUUAUCAGAAGGAAAGAGGGUCAUUAUCACCUGGAGAGUUCACACA